ACCCGGCCUUCUUGGAGUCCCUGGGAGGGGUACUGGAGAGUGCUCCAACCGGGGACUCCGUCGUUCUCCUGGGGCACUUCAACCCCCACGUGGGCAGCGACAGUGUUACCUGGAGGGGUGUGAUUGGGAGGAACGGCCUCCCCGAUCUGAACCCGAGUGGUGUUUUGUUACUGGACGUCUGUGCUAGUCACAGUUUGUCCAGAACGAACACCAUGUUCAAGCAUAAGGGUGUCCAUAUGUGCACGUGGCACCAGGACACCCUAGGCCGGAGAUCAAUGAUCGACUUUGUGGUCGUGUCAUCUGACCUCCGGCCGUAUGUCUUGGACAUUCGGGUGAAGAGAAGGGCUGAGCUGUCAACUGAUCACCACCUGGUGGUGAGUUGGAUCCGCUGGCGGGGGAGGAAGCCGGACAGACCUGGCAGACCCAAACGUAUCGUGAGGGUCUGCUGGGAACGUCUGGCAGAACCCUCUGCCAGGGAGAUCUUUAACUCCCACCUCCAGGAGAGCUUUGACCAGAUCCUGAGGGAGGCUGGGGACAUUGAGUCCGAAUGGACCAUGUUCUCCACUUCCAUUGUUGACGCGGCUGUCCGGAGCUGUGGCCGUAAGGUCUCCGGUGCCUGUUGCGGCGGCAAUCCCCGAACCCGGUGGUGGACCCCGGAAGUAAGGGUUGCUGUCAAGCUGAAGAAGGAGUCCUACCGAGCCUGGCUGGCCCGGGGGACUCCUGAGGCAGCUGACGGGUACCGGCAGGCCAAGCGUGCGGCAGCACGGGCAGUCUCGGAAGCAAAAACUCGGGUCUGGGAAGAGUUCAGGGAGGCCAUGGAGGAGGACUACCGGUCGGCCUCGAAGAAAUUCUGGCAAACCAUCCGGCGCCUCAGGAGGGGGAAGCAGUCCUCCACCAACACUGUUUACAGUGGAGGUGGGGAGCUGUUGACCUCGACUGGGGAUAUCGUCAGGCGGUGGAAGGAAUACUUCGAGGAUUUCCUCAAUCCCACUGACACGCCUUCCAUAGAGGAAGCAGAGGCUGGGGACUCAGAGGUUGACCCAUCCAUCACCCAAGCCGAAGUCACUGAGGUAGUCCGGAAGCUCCUCGGUGGCAAAGCACCGGGGGUGGAUGAGAUCCGC
rnacentral:lncRNA from 1 species